AGGAAUUUAGGUUAANAUCCCAGACCAAGAGCCUUCAAAGCUCUAANCAAGUGAAUUCACUUAAUUCCUG
rnacentral:tRNA from 1 species